GUUGGGUAGGGGAGCGUUCUGUAAGCCUGUGAAGGUGGCCUGUGAGGGUUGCUGGAGGUAUCAGAAGUGCGAAUGCUGACAUAAGUAACGAUAAAGCGGGUGAAAAGCCCGCUCGCCGGAAGACCAAGGGUUCCUGUCCAACGUUAAUCGGGGCAGGGUGAGUCGACCCCUAAGGCGAGGCCGAAAGGCGUAGUCGAUGGGAAACGGGUUAAUAUUCCCGUACUUGGUGUUACUGCGAAGGGGGGACGGAGAAGGCUAUGUUGGCCGGGCGACGGUUGUCCCGGUUUAAGCGUGUAGGCUGGUUUUCCAGGCAAAUCCGGAAAAUCAAGGCUGAGGCGUGACGACGAGGCACUACGGUGCUGAAGCAACAAAUGCCCUGCUUCCAGGAAAAGCCUCUAAGCAUCAGGUAACAUCAAAUCGUACCCCAAACCGACACAGGUGGUCAGGUAGAGAAUACCAAGGCGCUUGAGAGAACUCGGGUGAAGGAACUAGGCAAAAUGGUGCCGUAACUUCGGGAGAAGGCACGCUGACACGUAGGUGAAGUGAUUUACUCAUGGAGCUGAAGUCAGUCGAAGAUACCAGCUGGCUGCAACUGUUUAUUAAAAACACAGCACUGUGCAAACACGAAAGUGGACGUAUACGGUGUGACGCCUGCCCGGUGCCGGAAGGUUAAUUGAUGGGGUCAGCGCAAGCGAAGCUCCUGAUCGAAGCCCCGGUAAACGGCGGCCGUAACUAUAACGGUCCUAAGGUAGCGAAAUUCCUUGUCGGGUAAGUUCCGACCUGCACGAAUGGCGUAAUGAUGGCCAGGCUGUCUCCACCCGAGACUCAGUGAAAUUGAACUCGCUGUGAAGAUGCAGUGUACCCGCGGCAAGACGGAAAGACCCCGUGAACCUUUACUAUAGCUUGACACUGAACAUUGAGCCUUGAUGUGUAGGAUAGGUGGGAGGCUUUGAAGUGUGGACGCCAGUCUGCAUGGAGCCGACCUUGAAAUACCACCCUUUAAUGUUUGAUGUUCUAACGUGGACCCGUAAUCCGGGUUGCGGACAGUGUCUGGUGGGUAGUUUGACUGGGGCGGUCUCCUCCUAAAGAGUAACGGAGGAGCACGAAGGUUGGCUAAUCCUGGUCGGACAUCAGGAGGUUAGUGCAAUGGCAUAAGCCAGCUUGACUGCGAGCGUGACGGCGCGAGCAGGUGCGAAAGCAGGUCAUAGUGAUCCGGUGGUUCUGAAUGGAAGGGCCAUCGCUCAACGGAUAAAAGGUACUCCGGGGAUAACAGGCUGAUACCGCCCAAGAGUUCAUAUCGACGGCGGUGUUUGGCACCUCGAUGUCGGCUCAUCACAUCCUGGGGCUGAAGUAGGUCCCAAGGGUAUGGCUGUUCGCCAUUUAAAGUGGUACGCGAGCUGGGUUUAGAACGUCGUGAGACAGUUCGGUCCCUAUCUGCCGUGGGCGCUGGAGAACUGAGGGGGGCUGCUCCUAGUACGAGAGGACCGGAGUGGACGCAUCACUGGUGUUCGGGUUGUCAUGCCAAUGGCACUGCCCGGUAGCUAAAUGCGGAAGAGAUAAGUGCUGAAAGCAUCUAAGCACGAAACUUGCCCCGAGAUGAGUUCUCCCUGAGACUU
rnacentral:rRNA from 1 species